UACGAAGGGGGCGAGCGUUGUUCGGAAUUACUGGGCGUAAAGGGCGCGUAGGCGGCGACCCAAGUCAGAUGUGAAAGUCCUGGGCUUAACCUGGGGACUGCAUUUGAUACUGGGUUGCUUGAAUUCGGGAGAGGAUAGCGGAAUUCCCAGUGUAGAGGUGAAAUUCGUAGAUAUUGGGAAGAACACCGGUGGCGAAGGCGGCUAUCUGGACCAUUUCUGACGCUGAGACACGAAAGCGUGGGUAGCAAACAGG
rnacentral:rRNA from 1 species